rnacentral:rRNA from 1 species
UACGUAGGGUGCAAGCGUUGUCCGGAAUUAUUGGGCGUAAAGAGCUCGUAGGCGGUCUGUCGCGUCUGCUGUGAAAACUCAGGGCUUAACCCUGAGCUUGCAGUGGGUACGGGCAGACUAGAGUGCGGUAGGGGAGACUGGAAUUCCUGGUGUAGCGGUGAAAUGCGCAGAUAUCGAGGAGGAACACCGGUGGGCCGAAAGGCGGGUCUCUGGGCCGGUAAC